UAGUUUGAUUGGUCUAGCGUACUCAUGAAAACGUUAGUUGUCUGAGUGGGCGGAGCUAAAAUGACGUAAGGAUUUUAGUAAAAUAGAAAUGCAGGUGAAUCUGACCGAUCACAGAACAGCACUAAAUUGUGGGUUUAUUAUAUUACAUCUUGAAUCUUACAUGUGACUUUUUGUGAGUAGGAGUUUUGGAAAAAUGGAAACGACAAGGAAUCCGACCGGUGAACUUACCGAAAUUGAAUCUGUAAUUGCUAAUCCCAUCCAGAUGGCUCUGCAGACUCAAGUAAGAAAAAGGUAUAUGUAUUUAUAUAUUAUAGUAUUUCAUAAUUUCAAGAAUGGAUACAUUUUUUUAUUUUCUUUUUUUUAAGUCCUUAUUCAGAGUAGUCGGGAAUGGUAGUAACAAAUCCUUUCAGCUACAAGGAAAGAACCAGGGAAAGGUGGCAAAUAUAGCAAUCUGUGGCCUCUAAUCUAAAUGCCAUGUGGGAAACUGAUAAAACAGAUAGCAGAGGGUGCAGGGAGCGAUACAACCUCCUUAAGACAAAGCAUGUAAAAAAUGAACAAUGAAGAAGAAGCUUCAGGGAUUUCCCCUAAAGAGACAGAAGACGACAAGGCGAUGGAGGAGCUGGUAAAUCCUGAAAAGGAGUCCGAAACAUCAAGUCUUCCAUCUGAUAAUAAAGAAAGAGAAGGAGGAUGCGCAGGAAAUGAGAAAUAGAUGUUUUAAUGCCAUGACACCAAUUAAAAAGACAAAGAGUGAAGAUGUGUCGAAUGAGACUAUGCUCAUGAUCAAAGAAAAAAUGGAGAGAGAAAGUGGAGAAAUGAAGAGAAAGAAUUGAAAGAGAAGCAGAUGGAGCAAGAAGCAGAAUUUAGAAAACAAGAGGCUGCUAAAAGAACUAAAUAAAUAGACUUGAUGCAACAGCAAAUGCUACAGCAAACUCAGUAGAUGAACAAUAUUAUGAUAAUGAUGUUGGAAGUAUUAAAAAAUAAGUAAUCAAAUAAUUAUAAAUAUGUAAUUAAAAUUUUAUUUUAAUAAUUUAGCAGGCCCAUGUUUUUUUUUUAUUCUGCUCUCUUGUUCCAUCUGCUUUUUUUUGGUUUAAUGUUAAGCUUGCAAAAUCUAGUUUACCUAACUCAAGUAACUUCUAAGUUGAUCUUAUUUUAUAUGCCAAAAUUGUUGUGGAUUCCAUUAAUUAAUGAUCUGCAAGUCAAAUUUUAUCUAAUUCUUAGGCAAGUUCACUAUAUCAUAUACUGUCCUAUUAUUGUGCAAUGAUUAUUUUUAAAUUGUAUAUUGUGUGUAUACACUUAAAUAAAACAAUUUCCACAGAUAUACAGUAUAGUUUUAUGAAUAUUCAUGUUUAAUACUACUGCAAACCAAUAAACAUCGUAUCCAGGGAACAAACAUUUUGUUAUAAUUUGUUACGAAGACGCGUAGAGGAGGGAAGUAACAAACAACUACAAACAGCAAACUGUAUCAU